CACGUAGGGGGCAAGCGUUGUCCGGAUUCAUUGGGCGUAAAGAGCUCGUAGGCGGUUCGAUAAGUCGGGUGUGAAACCUCCAGGCUCAACCUGGAGACGCCACCCGAUACUGUCGUGACUAGAGUCCAGUAGGGGAGAACGGAAUUCCUGGUGUAGCGGUGAAAUGCGCAGAUAUCAGGAGGAACACCGGUGGCGAAGGCGGUUCUCUGGGCCUUACCUGACGCUGAGGAGCGAAAGCAUGGGGAGCAAACAGG
rnacentral:rRNA from 1 species